CAGAACACCUCUUAUCUUCCAGACAGAGCUUGUCUUAGUAGGGUGGUGAUCUGGGCCAGGAAAUUCCCACUGGAAAUCCGGCUUGAUCUUCAGCUUUCUGUGUUUUCCUUGGUAGAAGACCCAGGUAGCUAAGUGCAGCAUCCGGGGUCCUACUUUCAGGAGCAUGUGUUCAUGUUGGAGUGUGAGCAGGAAGACGCAUACCUCUUUGUGUUUGGAGACUAAUCCUGUUGCCCUCAGAGAGACCUGGCUGUGGAAAUCAGCAGAGUAGGCGCUUAGCAAACUGUGACUUCAACAGAACAGCGCUAUCUGUUCUAUUAAUUGUUCAAAUUGUUAUCUGCAAAGGAAUAAGCCUCUGUGAAAAUAAACACAGUGUUUAAAAGAAU